rnacentral:rRNA from 1 species
UACGAAGGGUGCAAGCGUUAAUCGGAAUUACUGGGCGUAAAGCGUGCGCAGGCGGUUUUGUAAGACAGGCGUGAAAUCCCCGGGCUCAACCUGGGAAUUGCGCUUGUGACUGCAAAGCUGGAGUGCGGCAGAGGGGGAUGGAAUUCCGCGUGUAGCAGUGAAAUGCGUAGAUAUGCGGAGGAACACCAAUGGCGAAGGCAAUCCCCUGGGCCUGUACUGACGCUCAUGCACGAAAGCGUGGGGAGCAAACAGG